rnacentral:lncRNA from 1 species
GAAUAAUCUUCAUCUUCACCGCCCACACGCCGUAGUUGGCAUCGGUGAGCAUCGGGUACUGGAUGGGGAUGUUGCGAUGCGCCUGGACGUUGGCGCCGCUCGUUCCUCCACCACUGGUUGCUAACUUGACGCCCUUCUUCACCUUGUCGCCGUUCUUGUUCGCCUUAGCACCACCGCUGCCGGACUUGACCGACUCAGCGUCGGUGUCCGUCAUCGUAAAUCGUAGAUCGUCGAGGCUCUAGAUACAAAUUGUUGGCUUUUGAACGUGCGUAUGCAGUUGUAGGCACUCCGUUCUCGAUAUCCACCUUGCAUCCAUUCUCGUCAAGCUUCCCGAUAGAGAUGAUGUUGUUGCGAAGCCGUGGGAUGCAGUACACUCCGGUGAGUAUGCGAUGUUCGCCUAUGAGACCCUCGAAGAGGACAGAUCCUUGCCCACAAAUCUCCACAUUUGAACCAUCACCAAACUUGACCGAGCCUUCAACAUCAUAUUCGAGCUUGAGAAAUUUCUCCUUGCAUCACGUCAUGUGGUUACUGGCACCCGUGUCGAGAUACCACGACACGUUCUGAUCCCCGGAUAACUUAGGUGUCACAUUCUUCUCAUGAAGUAGCACCUUCCGGCUUGGUUUGACAACCACUGUUUCAGCGAGAUCACAAACUUCGGCCAUCAGAAGACCUAGACCUUCGUCUUCCUCCUUUGCCAAAUUUGCCUUGAUCUCCCGCUUGUCAGGCUCCGGACAAUUCUUUGCAAAGUGACCCAUCUCGUUGCAGUUAUAGACUUGACCUUGGACAUAUCCAAGUUCCGUUGCUUCCGCCCUUUAGUUUGGUUUGCCUUACCACGACCUUGUGGUUUGUCUUUUCCUUUGCCUUCUCCGGUUUGUCCGCCGCGCGUUGCGUUGCUUGAGCCUUCGUUGCCAUCACGCCUUCCUUUGCUACUUGGGGACUCCCAAUCUGCACGCGAGUACAUGAGUUGGUCACUACCUCCUCCGUUGCCUUUUCGACAGCCACGAGCAUUCUCUUCACACGUCCGCAGGCGUCCGAUCGCCUCCGUUAUGGUCACGUCGUCGAUGUCGUAAAGCUGCUCGAGCGUGCCGAUGUUGUACGUGAAUUUGUUAGUCACUGAACUGAAAAAUUUCUCCACAAUCUCGGUCUCCUCGAGCUUUGCACCAAGAGCACGGAUCUCUCCCACCAAAGUAGUAAGACGCAUGGCAUAGUCGUUCACCGAUUCAGUUUCCUCCAUCUGCAACUUGUGAAAUUGGCGCUUCAGCACUUGUGGCCGUGCCUUGGUGGCGCGAUCUUCUCCGAUCCUCAUCUCCUUGAGUGCGUUCCACGCCUCUCUUGCCGUCUCGAACUCCACCAAUGUCAUCAGCAUGGAAUCCGGCACAACCUGGGCUAUGGCGGCCAUGGCACCUUCGUCGCGCUCCUCGUCGACAUCGUCGUCCGUGAUGGCCUCCCACACUCGAAGGGAUCGAAGAAUAAUCUUCAUCUUCACCGCCCACACGCCGUAGUUGGCAUUGGUGAGCAUCGGGUACUGGAUGGGGAUGUUGCGAUGCGCCUGGACGUUGGCGCCGCUCGUUCCUGCACCACUGGUUGCUGACUUGACGCCCUUCUUCACCUUGUCGCCGUUCUUGUUCGCCUUAGCACCGCCGCUGCCGGACUUGACCGACUCAGC